CUGAGUGUAAAGGCAUAAGGGAGCUUGACUGCGAGACCUACAAGUCGAGCAGGGUCGAAAGACGGACUUAGUGAUCCGGUGGUUCCGCAUGGAAGGGCCAUCGCUCAACGGAUAAAAGCUACCCCGGGGAUAACAGGCUUAUCUCCCCCAAGAGUUCACAUCGACGGGGAGGUUUGGCACCUCGAUGUCGGCUCAUCGCAUCCUGGGGCUGUAGUCGGUCCCAAGGGUUGGGCUGUUCGCCCAUUAAAGCGGUACGCGAGCUGGGUUCAGAACGUCGUGAGACAGUUCGGUCCCUAUCCGUCGUGGGCGUAGGAAAUUUGAGAGGAGCUGUCCUUAGUACGAGAGGACCGGGAUGGACAUACCUCUGGUGUACCAGUUGUCGUGCCAACGGCAUAGCUGGGUAGCUAUGUAUGGACGGGAUAAGUGCUGAAAGCAUCUAAGCAUGAAGCCCCCCUCAAGAUGAGAUUUCCCAACUUCGGUUAUAAGAUCCCUCAAAGAUGAUGAGGUUAAUAGGUUCGAGGUGGAAGCGUAGCGAUACGUGGAGCUGACGAAUACUAAUCGAUCGAAGACUUAAUCAAUUU
rnacentral:rRNA from 1 species